ACCCCAACCCCGCCCCGCACCCCGUGCACCUGCCGGCCUUCCCCGGAGAGCAGGGUGCAGGGCCUCGGGUGGGUCAGGUGACUGGCCUCGCGCUUAGACCCAGUCGUUUGCUCUGGGCCGCUAGGCCUGGCCGCAGCCCGGCUGGAGUGGGGCUCGAGUGGGGCUGGGCGGGACCCGGAGCUCCCAGAAACCAGGCUGCCACCCGCGGGGCAGACCCAGAGGGAGCGGGCCAGGGGAGGGCGCCGCCUGGGCGCCAGCCCCUCCUGGUUGGGGAUCCCGUCAGGUUGGCUGACUCCCUGCGACCUGCUCUCUGGUCGAUGACAUCCACCCCGAGGGUUUUUGUGACGUUCAUUGAGAUCAUGUACGCGAGGUUCUUGGCGCAGGAUAACACAGAAUGGGAGAUAAGGUAUGCUGGGGGUUUGUUCACGCUUUUUGAAUGCUUAUUAAAAGUGCUUCCUGGGCAGCCCGGGUGGCUCAGGGGUUUAGCACCACCUGCAGCCCAGGCCGGGAUCCUGGAAGUCUCAGGAUCAAGUCCCGCGUCGGGCUCCCUGCGUGGAGCUUGCUUCUCCCUCUGCCUGUGUCUCUGCCUCUCUCUCUCUCUGCAUCUCUAUGAAUAAAUAAAUAAAAUCUUUUUUUAAAAAAAGUGCUUCCUGAGGGGUCCUGUUGAGCCUUAGCAGCAGGACAGACAUGGGGAUGCUGGGAAGAGUGGGGCCUGCCCUGGAGGCAGGAGGAUGGGAGAGCUGGGACCCCAGGGAGGGUGGGACCCACCCGAGAAGGCACAGCCAGGUCUGUGAAGCUAAGGCUGUCAAAGCGGGGGUUCCUGGGAAGUAAGCCCGGGCUCAUCAUCACCUUUACCCUCCAACCCGUACCUGGUACCUUCCCCGGGCUCCUCCAACCUCCCCCUCCCUCCACCUCCCCUCCCCAUUUUGAGGCCCCAAAAAGCCAAGUGACAGAGGCCAGAUCAGAUCUUCCUUGGGGGCAGCCAGUGCCUGGCUCAGUCGAGGUGCUCAUCCGAAGCCACACUCAGAGACGGGAGGAACUCUGAAGCAGACUGCUGAUUUCACCCAGCCCCCCAGCACCUCCAGGACUGGCCCAGGAACCAGGCCGCAGGAUGCCCGCUUCCUCCCUGCUUAGACUAGAUUCACAGCCUGAUUUCUCUGGAUCCACUUCACCUCAGUCUAUCCACAGGUCAGACUGAGCUACAUGAAAGCAGAAAGGCACGGGGAGGCUUUGGGGGAAAACCCACUCUCCUGCUUUUGGGGACAGAAUGGACUCACUGCUCCUGAUGCUUGAGAGACGGGAGAUGUUGCCGUUCAUCAUCAUCCCAGUAGAUGCCAUUUAUGGGACACCUAAAAGGACAGUAAGGCCCUUUUGGACAUUAUUUCUAGUCUUUACAGCGUAUUUUGCCAGAUGGUGUCAUUUAACAGGUGAGAGACUAAAGGUUGAGAGAGGUUAAGCAUUUUCCCCAAGGCCACACAGCUUUUAAGUGGCCAAUGUCUGAUGAGCUCAGGCUUAUCUGUCCCCAGAGCCCCAGAUCUUCCCACGUCCCACUGUUUCUCUUCCCAAGCUUCUUCACCCUAUAAAUUUGGUCAUUCAACACACACUGAUUAGGCCAGGCCUGGUACUGGACCAUGGAAAUGACAGGGAGACAGAGCAUGAGCAGGUAAUAACCACCCCCCAGGCCGGGCGUUAUGAGAGGGGACACUAAGGCUGCUGGGAACACCCUUUGGCUUGGGGCUGGGCGGGAGCUGGGGCAGGCAGGUGUAGGCCGAGGCCUGGGAGAACCAGAUUCUUCCAAGCGCCCCUCCCCAGACAGGGAGUUCCGGGGCUGCCAGCAGGGGGAGCCCGGAGCCCAGGCCUGAGUCCAGCUCAAGGCUUACGUAAAUGAGAAUGCUGGUGGGGGGUGCGGGGAGGAGGGGGCACAGCCCAGGCUCCAGGACGUCACACGACAGACACAGAGGAGCUUACGCGGAGAGACGUCACUCACACGUCCCAACAGAGACCCACAGGCACACGCACAGCACACGCACACGCUGCGGAGGGGGCUCAUAGCCCGCGGACUAGAGAGUGCUCCUGUGUCCUCCCAGCUGGCCCAUGAGAAGCCACACAGGCUUGCCCAGCACCGUGGGCUGAUGCUUGUGGAGGAGCGAGCAGAGACAGGAAGGUGGCCUGAGGCAGGGGGCGGGAGCCUGGGGGUUGCAGAGGGACACGGGUGGGAGGUCCAGGAGUGGCCAUGGGGUGCUGUCAUCACUGUGCCAUCACCGGCUGCCCACUCGCCCCCUAGGUGCCACCAGGGCUGGGCAUACGUCAGGGACCAGGCCUCUGUUCCCCGGGCUGAUAUAAUCCCCCCAAGAGGACAGACGUGCAGGACGCUGCGACGGCAGCGAGGGGUCCUGAGUGUCGCUGAAGAUAACCAAGACCGACGCUCUGCAACUCACCAUCUGAUGGAGGUGUCACACGUGACGGUCACGAUUGUGAUGACACGGUUCUGCGAGGGGCACCAGGACGGGACCGUUAACGUGUUCUCACCUGUGUCAGGAAGAAACUGAGGUGGACCGAAGCUUCGGAGCAUGUCCAAGGUACACGGAUUGGAUCCCAACUCGGAUCUGAGCCUGUGAUCGGCUGGGCCUGGAGGAGCCUGUGCUCCUGCCCUGCUACGUGGCUUCUUGAAGGCAAAGGGGACCCAGCACGCCCCGGCGUGGACCCCGCGAUGGACACAGGCCUUGAAGAGGGUGACAGACACAUCAGACACGACGCACGUGCCCCCCACCCCCGACAUCGGACACAGAAGUGCCACGCCCGUGCUCACACACACGCACACGCAGUACUCAGAGCUCUCCCCCUUGAAUGUGUAUAAAUCCCAGCUCGGUGGAGCUGAGGGUCACGUAGAA